rnacentral:rRNA from 1 species
GCAAGUCGAACGAUGAAGCCUUGCUUGCAAGGUGGAUUAGUGGCGCACGGGUGAGUAAUAUAUAGCUAACCUGCCCCUUAGAGAGGGACAACAGUUGGAAACGACUGCUAAUACCUCAUACUCCUUUUUGGCAUAUGUCAAAUCGGGAAAUGCUCCGGCGCUAAGGGAUGGGGCUUUAUGGUAUCAGGUAGUUGGUGGGGUAAAGGCCUACCAAGCCAAUGACGCCUAGCUGGUCUGAGAGGAUGAUC